CCCUAGCCCAGAUGGAAACGGCAUCCUUUUUCUUUUUUUUAAAGAAAAAGAUACAGUGAACAGCUGGAAAUAGC
rnacentral:sRNA from 1 species